GAGGGUAUAGCUUAGUGGUAGAGUGCAUGCUUAGCACGCAUGAGGUCCUGGGUUCAAUCCCCAGCACCUCCA
rnacentral:tRNA from 1 species